CGAUACUGCGCAGGCGCAUAGCGCGGUGGGGGGGUAUGAGGCGCUCUCGGAAAUAAGUAGGGACAGGUGCCUGAGUCGGCUAUCGCGUUCUACUUCCGGGUCAGGGCCCGAUGGCUGACCGGAAGCGGAGUGAGAAAAUCUGUGUUCGUCAAGGUGAAGUAAUAUGAAGCUGCCUUAUGUUUCUUGGCGUUACAAUUUUUGUCUCUGAUUUAAUUGUUCAUCCAGUUUGAGAACCUUCUCUACAGCCUGAGAUGGAAACAGAGUCAACUAUCCCAAUUUGGCAGAACAAACCCCAUGGCUCAUCACGCAGUGUUGUCAGGAGGAUUGGGACAAACCUUCCUUUAAAACCCUGUCCUAGGGCAUCCUUUGAGGUUCUACCAAACAUUUCAGAUCUGUAUCUAAAUGAUGCACCUCCAGUCCCCACUCUGGCAGAUAUUGCAUGGAUAGCAGCAGAUGAAGAAGAAACAUAUGCUAGAGUCAGGAGUGACACACGUCCAUUGAAGCACAAAUGGAAGCCCAGCCCGUUCUUUGUUAUACAGCGAAAUGCUUCAGUCCCCAACUUGAGAAAGCAGGAAGAGAAGCUGCUGGUCUUGAAGAAACCUGGUUUACCGGCCCUCAGUCGGACGACGGAGCUUCAAGAUGAGCUGAGCCUCCUGCGGAGUCAAAUAGCUAAAAUUGUAGCUGCAGAGCCAGCUUCCGCUUCAUUAACGCCAGAUUUAUUAUCUCCAGGAAGUUCAAAUGUAUCUUCUCCCUUACCUUGUUUUGGAUCCUCAUUCCAAUCUACAACUUCCUUUGUCAUUAGUGAUAUCACAGAGGAGGCAGAAUUAGAAAUUCCGGAGCUUCCAUCAGUUUCCAUGCUUUGUUCUGCAACCUCUGAAUGUUGUAAACCAGAUCCAAAGGAUGCUGACGAGGAAGAUUCUGUGUCUCUUUCGAAGGCCAGCAGUUUUGCGGACAUGAUGGGCAUACUUAAAGACAUUCAUAGGAUGAAACAGAACAAAGAUUUGAACUGGUGUUAAAACCCACAGCCUGGAAGCUUCAGGAAUGAGCAUGAGACACAUUUGCAUGUUUCCACCAUUAAAAUCAGAAUAGAGCCCUUUUAAUAUCUGCUGCCUUUUGGAAAGGAAUUGUCUGUGUAGUGUUCCAGCUGAUCCGUUCAUUCAGUGUGUGGUUAAAAACAUUUAGUGUGAGGAUCUGCUUUGAAUGAACCGAACUUUAUUGAAAGAGGAAGACCCGGCUGUUCUUAUAUCAGAAGUGUUAAGAAGAAAAUUUGCUCUAAAGGAUGAAGAUGUAACCAUGAAAGAGAACUGACAUUACACUUCCAUUUAAAUCUGUAAGCAAGUGUAUCGUGCUCCUGAGAUUUUUCUCCACAGUAGCUGCCUUCCUAAGGAUCAAACUUUCUUGCCUCUUUACUAAUUAGAAAUUAUUUCUGCACUGGAAACUUAUUCAAGAAAGCAACUGUAGAUUUGCAGAGUUUUCCAUGUCUCUAAAUAUAUAAAAACUUUUUAAGAAAGGAAAUUUUUCCACAUAUUUUGAAGCAUUACUGGUAACAGUGUCUUCUACAGAGUGAUGCGAGUGUUGCUAAAUGAAGUUCUCUUCCUAUCUGUGUUUUUCCCCAAGGUGACUUUAACUUGAAUCAUUCAUUUGGCUCAUGAUGGUCUUGUUGCAAUAUGACUAGCUACUAAUUUAUAAUAUAAAUGGACAUAAAGCAUCUAAUUCUUUCUCUGAUCAGGGGAAGUCGGGUGCAAAGCUAUCAAUAAGAGUAAAUUGCUUCUUCCUUCCAGGCUGUCAGUUUUUAGGAAGUUCUGAUUGUAUUGAGGGUGGUUUAAGAGCUCGCAUUUUUUUCUCAAAAAAGGAUUCCCUUUCCCUAAAGUUUCUUCCAAUUACUUUCCUGUCCCAUUUAGGACAAGAAAAAUUAAAGUGAAUUAUCAGACCAUUUAACCACACUCAAUUUGCUAGACUGGUGUUGGCUGGUGAGUGACUUUUUAAAAUAGUUUGUAUGUUUGAAAGAUCAAAAUAUCCCCAGAGUCACAUUACACGACACUUGUAUCCUGCCCUAAGGUAACUUGUCAAGAAUUCCAUGUAUUUCAUUAAAAUGAUCUCUUUAUUCAGA